rnacentral:rRNA from 1 species
GACGAACGCUGGCGGCGUGCUUAACACAUGCAAGUCGAACGGAAAGGCCUUUUCGGAGGUACUCGAGUGGCGAACGGGUGAGUAACACGUGGGUGAUCUGCCCUGCACUCUGGGAUAAGCCUGGGAAACUGGGUCUAAUACCGGAUAGGACCGCACUUUAGUGUGUGUGGUGGAAAGUUCUUUCUGUGUAGGAUGAGCCCGCGGCCUAUCAGCUUGUUGGUGGGGUAAUGGCCUACCAAGGCGGCGACGGGUAGCCGGACUGAGAGGUUGGUCGGCCACAUUGGGGCUGAGAUACGGCCCAGACUCCUACGGGAGGCAGCAGUGGGGAAUAUUGCACAAUGGGCGCAAGCCUGAUGCAGCGACGCCGCGUGGGGGAUGACGGCCUUCGGGUUGUAAACUCCUUUCGCCAGGGACGAAGCGUUUUGUGACGGUACCUGGAGAAGAAGCACCGGCUAACUACGUGCCAGCAGCCGCGGUAAUACGUAGGGUGCAAGCGUUGUCCGGAAUUACUGGGCGUAAAGAGCUCGUAGGUGGUUUGUCACGUCGUCUGUGAAAUUCCACAGCUUAACUGAGGGCGUGCAGGCGAUACGGGCUGACUUGAGUACUGUAGGGGUAACUGGAAUUCCUGGUGUAGCGGUGAAAUGCGCAGAUAUCAGGAGGAACACCGAUGGCGAAGGCAGGUUACUGGGCAGUUACUGACGCUGAGGAGCGAAAGCAUGGGUAGCAAACAGGAUUAGAUACCCUGGUAGUCCAUGCCGUA